GGAGGUUGGACUGGGAGGGCGGGGGCCGGAGGCAGGUCAUGGGCUGGGGGGAAGGGUAGACGAGCGGCGGAAACCCUUAGACUCAGAGAAGCAUCGAGAACCGGAAGGAGACCAUGGGAGGAAGCAGUAGUGUUGGAUUGGCCAAAAAGCUCCUUCAGCUUUUAAGUAAAAAUAAAAGACACAUUUUUCAUUUUUACCAAGAACUUUAUUGAACAACGUAUUCACCGUUUUGUUCCACUAACUUCUGCCAUUUUUCAGGCAACUUCAUAAUUCCAUCUUCCCAAAACUUUUUAUGUUUUUGAGCAAAGAACUGUUCCAUAGGCCUUUUACAGUCUUCCAGGGAAUUGAAAUUUUUUCCAUUAAGAGAAUUUUGUAAAGACCGAAAUAAAUGGAAAUCCGAAGGUGCAAUGUCUGGUGAAUAUGGCGGAUGAAUCAAAACUUCCCAGCCAAGCUGGAACAGUUUUUGCCUGGUCAUCAAAGAAACAUGCGGUCUUGCUGAUGGAAGGUUAUGCGUUUUCUGUUGACUAAUUCUGGACGCUUUUCGUCAAGUGCUGCUUUCAGUUGGUCUAACUGGAGGCUGUACUUGUUGGAAUUAAUCGUUUGGUUUUCCAGAAGGAGCUCAUAAUAGACUACCUUUCAAUCCCACCAUAUACACACAUCACCUUCUCUGGAUGAAGACCCGCCUUUGGUGUGGUUCAUUUCACUUGCCCCACGAUCUCUUCCAUUCCACAUUAUUGUACAGUAUCCACUUUUCAUCACCCAUCACAAUUUGUUUUAAAAACGGAACAUUUUCGUAAUGUUUCAGUGGAGAAUCACAUGCGGAAAUACGGUCAAGAAGGUUUUUUUCACUUAACUUAUGUGGAACCCAAACAUCAAAGCGAUUAACAUAACCAAGCUGGUGCAAAUGAUUUUCAACGCUUGAUUUGGAUAUUUUGAGUAUGUCGGCUAUUUCCCUCUAGCAAUAUCGUUGACUGUUCUCAAUUAAUGUCUAGAUUUGAUUGCUAUCAACUUCAACUGAUGUACCCAACCAUGGAGCAUCAUCCAGUGAGAAAUCUCCAGCACAAAAGUUCGCAAACCACUUUUGACAUGUUCGAUCAGUCCCAGCACCUUCUCCAUAUACUGCACAAAUCUUUUUUUGCAUUUCAGUUGCGUUUUUACCUUUCUUGAAAUAAUAAAGCAUAAUAUGCUGAAAAUGUUGUUUUCUUCCAUCUUCAAUAUUAAAAUGGCUACAUAAAAAUUCAUCAAUUUUGGGACUUGCCUGGUGGCACAGUGGUUAAGACUCUGCACUCCCAAUGCAGGGGACUGGAGUUCAAUCCCUGGUCAGGGAACCAGAUCCCAUAUGCAUGCCGCAACUAAGAGUUCACAUGCCACAACUAAGGAGCCCACCUGCCGCAACUAAGGACCUGGUGAGCUGCAACUAAGAAGCCUGCCUGCUGCAACUAAGGAGCCCACGUGCUGCAACUAAGGAGCCCACCACAACUAAGACCCAGUGCAACCAAAUAAAUAUUUUUUAAAAAUUCACCAAUUUUGAUAAGUUUUUUUAAAUGCACACUGAUAUGACAGCUGUCACAUACAAUCUAACAAAAUUGUUUUGAAUGAAGUUAAAGACAGCUAAGCGCUAUUAGAGCUGUCUUACAGAAAAAAUUGAAUCAACUUUUUGGCUAACCCAAUAUCUUGUGGAAAUCACAAUUCAACUCAUACUGCUUUAAUUUAUUCCUUUCCAUAAGAUACAAAAACUGUAAUUAAUUCAACCAUUUUCCUAUUAAUGAGCUUUCAUUUUGUUACUUGUUUUUUGAUACUAUGGAUGAUACUACAGUGAAUAUUCUCACAGAUAGACCCUUACGUAGUAUUUUAUACCUAUAGGACAGAUUCGCAAGAAUGAUGUAGCUAGGACAAAAGAUAUUUGUAGUUUAAAACAUUUUAACACAGGUUGCCAGACUGUUUUGCAAAUAGGUUGAAAAAGUUCACAUUUAUACCAGCAAUGUAUAAUACCCUUUUAGUUGGAUCCCUACUGGCAACAGGUGCUGUUGGUCAUUUAACAUUUUGCCCAUUCUGAAAAGAUGUCUCACUUCACUUGUAACAGGAGAAAUGCAUAAUACUACACUAAGAUUAAACAUUUUCACUUAUCAGUCCCAAAUCCAAAAGUUUGAUAACAUACUCUAAUGACAAUGCUGUGGGGUCACUCUUCCAUGUUGUUUAUAUAACACAGGGAAAUCUGGCAAUAUCUAUCAAAAUCCCACACACAUUACAUACCCUUUGAUCCAGCAAUCUUAUUUCUGUGAAAUCUUGAACAUGUGAGACAAAAUUAUAAACAGUAUUAUUCAUUACUACACUGUUUUCAAAAGCAAAAGACUGAAAUCAAUGCAAAUAUCCAUCAUAAGGGCUGGUAAAAUAUAUUCUGGUAUUCUUGUAGUGAAAUACAAUGCAGCUGUUAAAGGAUAAGAACUCUCAUUAUGGAGCUACUUACAUAACUCUGAGUUGUGGAACACAGUGCAUUAUUAUAACCUUUGCUUUUUUUCUUUUUUUUAAGGAGAAUAAAAUAAACUCAUAUUUGUAUAAAAAAGCUCUGGGAAAUACUUGAGAAACUAAUCAAAGUGGUUGUGAGACGAGUGGUGUUGGCAUGGGAAAUGGGUGGAUGGCAGAUAUGUGGGGGAAACUUCAACUCAAAACAUAAAUACCUAUCCACCUAUCUAGAUACACAAACACACAUUACAUUUGAAUGAAUUGCUCCUCAAAAGGAAAAGAAAAAGAAAAAUAGUUCCAGUAGAGUGAAUUCCCCAGUUUCCUUUAUGUGAUUUUUGUCAAGUCAAUUUAACUAUCUGAUCCUCUUUCUUCAACUGUAAAACAGGGAUAAGAUCUGCUUCACAAUGCUUUGGUGAGCACUAGAUUAGCUCUGUCACUUAAUAAACUGACACUUAAUAAAUGUUAGUUGAAUAAAAAAAAAAAA